rnacentral:rRNA from 1 species
CCUACGGGGGGUAGCAGUGAGGAAUAUUGCUCAAUGGCCGCAAGGCUGAAGCAGCAACGCCGCGUGAGGGAUGAAGGAUCUAUGGUCUGUAAACCUCUGUAGAGAAGGAAAAAUAAUUCAUUACAUGAAUAUGAUAGUACUUUUAGAGUAAGCCCCGGCUAACUACGUGCCAGCAGCCGCGGUAAUACGUAGGGGGCAAGCGUUGUCCGGAAUCACUGGGUGUAAAGGGUGCUCAGGCGGAUCGGUAAGUCAAGGGUGAAAUUUCAUAGCUUAACUGUGAAUGUGCUUUUGAUACUGUCGGUCUAGAGUUCAGAAGAGGGCAAUGGAAUUCUUGGUGUAGCGGUGAAAUGCGUAGAUAUCAAGAAGAACACCAGUUGCGAAGGCGGUUGCCUGGUCUGUAACUGACGCUCAAGCACGAAAGCGUGGGGAUCAAACA